rnacentral:SRP_RNA from 1 species
GCCAGGGAUGGUGGCGCGUGCCUGUAAUCCCAGUUACUUGGGAGGCUGAGGCAGGAGAAUUGCUUGAACCCGGGAGAUGGAGGUUGCAGUGAGCCAAGAUUGCACCACUGCACUCUAGCCUGGGUGACAAAGUGAGACUCUGUUUCAA